rnacentral:rRNA from 1 species
AUUGAACGCUGGCGGCAGGCCUAACACAUGCAAGUCGAGCGGAUGAAGGGAGCUUGCUCCUGGAUUCGGCGGCGGACGGGUGAGUAAUGCCUAGGAAUCUGCCUGGUAGUGGGGGAUAACGUCCGGAAACGGGCGCUAAUACCGCAUACGUCCUGAGGGAGAAAGUGGGGGAUCUUCGGACCUCACGCUAUCAGAUGAGCCUAGGUCGGAUUAGCUAGUUGGUGGGGUAAAGGCCUACCAAGGCGACGAUCCGUAACUAGUCUGAGAGGAUGAUCAGUCACACUGGAACUGAGACACGGUCCAGACUCCUACGGGAGGCAGCAGUGGGGAAUAUUGGACAAUGGGCGAAAGCCUGAUCCAGCCAUGCCGCGUGUGUGAAGAAGGUCUUCGGAUUGUAAAGCACUUUAAGUUGGGAGGAAGGGCAGUAAGUUAAUACCUUGCUGUUUUGACGUUACCAACAGAAUAAGCACCGGCUAACUUCGUG